GUCCUGGGAGCUGUGGGCCCAGACAAGGUUGGAAACCGUGGCCUGGCAUCUUCCCUGCUGUAGAAGCGGAAGAUGAAAUGGUGACUCCUGCGGCGGGCAUCGCCAUGCGUCAGGGUGAGCUCCGGGGCAGGUGGAGGCAGCAAAGGCCUCUCAGGACCGCGGAAGGGCCUCAUCAGCCACCACAUCCCCACCUGCGGGCGUGACAGCCUCAUCAUCUCCUCCAGAAAGCAACACUGUCAGCCACACAUCAGGAACUGUCAGCCUCAAAUUCAACAUUCCUCAUUCUUGAACCAAUUUACCAAAACUUUAUCUUCAUAAAAAGUUCUCAAGGGCUGGUUCCCUGGACCAGCAGCGUCAGGGUCAUCUGGGAACGUUUUAGGAUCGUGAACUCUCGUCAGCUCCCAAGACCUGCUGACUCAGAAGCUCUGGGGAUGGGGCUGGCAGUCUGGGUGUGAAUGCCCUCUGAGGUUGCUGUGGAGACUCCUGAGGUCACCUGCAUCCGCCAAACUCCGCCUGGGGUUCCCUUCGUUAUCAGCAGAGCACAUAGACACAUGUCUGGAUUUGUUUAUUCAUUGUCUUUUCAAAUAUAGUGUACUCAACAUGGAAAACAGAAGGAGGAGGAAGAGAAUGGAGAAAGAAAGCAUGAAAACUGAACCUCUCCUCCAUGCCCCUUUCUCAAAGCCACUCCUCCAGGGGUACCCCGUCUUUCUGUGCCUUUAUCAAUGUGUGUGGGCAGUUUUGAUUUACACAUAGAAGACCAUCAAAGUGCAUUGCAGCUUGCUUUUUCACAUAAUGUAAAUACUUCUGGUAUCUGCAUAUAAACACCAGCAUUGACAUUUUUAAUGAUUUUGUAGCAUUUUGAUGUAUGAAUUGCAAUAAUUUCAUUACAGUAAUGUUUUCCCUAAAAA